rnacentral:rRNA from 1 species
GACGAACCGUGCGAACGUUGUUCGGAUUCACUGGGCUUAAAGGGCGCGUAGGCGGAUGGCCAAGUCAAGGGUGAAAGCCCCCGGCCCAACCGGGGAAGUGCCUCUGACACUGGUCAUCUCGAGCGGGAUAGGGGCAGCUGGAACUUCCGGUGGAGCGGUGAAAUGCGUAGAUAUCGGAAGGAACGCCGGUGGCGAAAGCGAGCUGCUGGAUCCCUCCUGACGCUGAGGCGCGAAAGCCAGGGGAGCGAACGGG